rnacentral:pre_miRNA from 1 species
CUGUUACUCCCUCCGUCCGAAAAUACUUGUCAUCAAAAUGGAUAGAAAGGGAUGUAUCUAGAACUAAAAUACGUCUAGAUACAUCCUCUUUUAUUCAUUUUGAUGACAAGUAUUUCCGGACGGAGGGAGUAUUCA